rnacentral:lncRNA from 1 species
CAUGUCACUCAAACCAGCUGUAUUAAGGAAGGUGCAAGCUUUUGGGAUUUCUGUUUGGAUUUAGUUUAGGUUCAAAAGAGCACGCACAGAUCCUGAGUGUUGUCAAGCACCCGUGACUGGGAAACGGAGGCGUCCGAUCCGUAUUGGAGUCAAUUCGCCACUUAAUUGGUCUAAAGGUGACAUGUGGCACUAGAGAGCAUGCCUCUUUUUUUGUGCUGCUCUGCAACCUUUCGGCAUCUGAGAAGAUUGUUCUAGUGUUGCGGUUUACAUGUGGUCACUGCAGGACUCCGGCCAGCCAUUCCCAGGGCAGUGUGUGUCCUUAGAACUGAGCUCAGAAGCUGAAAUACUCAGUAGGACAGAAGCCUUUUGGACUCUCUCUCUCUUCUCUGUCACUGAAAAAUUUCUACAGAACAACACAUUCAAUAGGACCAAAUGAGUCCACAUCAAUGAAGAGGUACAAAAGAAGUAAUUGUUUGGGUGAAGGAAGUGCAAGGUGUGAAAUCUGAUGGAAUCAAAGAGAAAUCAAAGGAGAUGAGAUGAAGUUUCCUGGGAGGGAGCACAGGACACAACAGCUCUAGUGUGAACGGGAAAAUGCCGACCUUUAAGAUUUCAGAGCCCAGGGAUGAGCCAGAGGGCACCCAGAGGACAGCAGAACAUCUUGCUGCUCUGGGCAUGUGGACAGCUGUGAAGGCAGAUUCAAUUCUCGGACUUCUUCUUGUGGAACUUCAAAUUCCCAAAAGCAGAAAAACCCUUUGAAAAGAUUCAGCACGUUGCCAUGGAGAACAUCCCACUGAAGGAAUGUAUAGAAGUAGCAGGGUUAACUGAGUGCCUUCCAUCUUCCCUCCAAGGGAUCUGCAAUGAGAUGGGAGAAGGCAACAGGCUGUGUGGGAACCACUGAAGCUGGGAUGGCAGGGAAAGAACAUCUUAGGCUAACUCUUCAAGCCUUGCUGUCACAUUUGCUUUUGAGUCUAUGGUGUCAGCUGCCUACCAGUUGCUUUCAUCUCUAGAAAUCUGUGACUUGCAGUAUGACAAGAACAAAAGGUGACAAUACAAAGGACAAAGGGCAAGGAAUACAGACGGAGAAGCCGCUUAGAGUCUAGGAUGGCAGAGGUUCUCUUGAUCAUUUCAUUUUUGAGCGCUUGUAGAGCUUUGGUGUACCAGAGGUGCUUGAACAGCUUACCACACCACAGAUGAAUGGCCUUUGGAUUUCUCCUAAGAAAAUGUGGCUACCUGAAAUUCAACUCCAUUUUCUGGUCUUCAAUAUUUCUUUUGUGUUCAGUUUGCCAGCUGAGGAGAAGUGGCUAAGCAUAGCCUGUUACUGAUGCUAAAGCCCAAGUUCUGAACCUAACAACUCCAGCAACAUGAUCCUGUUUCAAGAGACAAAAAAGUGACUAAUGAAAGAAAACAAUUGAUGUGCUAUGUAGAGUUUAAAAGAAGGUAAAGAGAAUAAAUUAAAAGCAACAA